UCCAUCCAUCCAUCCUUUCUGCAAUAGAGAAAAGAUAUACAAGUAAAACAUGUCUCGGUGGCUAUGGCGAACAACAAGAUUCUCUGGGUUCUUUUACUCUUUUGACAGUGAUGGGGGCGAGCAAAAGCAUUGUGGAAGUGAAGGGGCAGAAGAAGUGCACAGUGGUGCUGAACAACAAGGGAUGCGUUGAGACGCUGUGUGAGGGGCAGUGCUCUAAGCCGUACAAUGGCGGCAAGGGCUCCUGAAAAAGCUGAGGAAGAAAGAAACCUAUCUACUUACAUUGUUUUAGCUGUGAAGGAAAAACGGUUGUUUCAAAUAGUGCAACCAAGAGUUCUGCGGGAAGGGACUACAGAACAGAUCAAAGCAAUUGGCAAGCUUGUUAAACGAUGCCUCAAGUUAAUUGGGGAGAAAGGCGAACCAUGAAAGAAGUGUCGAUGGAGUUGGAAAGCUUGAGAAGUACAAGUUGCAUCACAGGGAACAGUUUGAAAGCUCUGGAGAAAAUAGGGGAAUUACAGGGAAGCAAGGUGAUCUGUAUCCGGUUGUAGUGGUCCCAGGUUUCAACACGGGAGAGUAUUCUUGGCAAUAUUCUCUGGACAGCACCCAAUUCUUGCCAGCAAUCAAUACCCCUAGGUGAGUGGAACCACCUGAGAUUAUUCACAUGUCACAUUAGUUUAUAUAUUUUUUUGUCUUUUGCAUUGUUUUUUUCUUAGUUUGUGCCUCAUAAUGUGUGUGAUGCAUGUAUGAUUAGUUGUUAAUGCUUAUUUAUCAUUGUUGUUUUUCAUCUGGAUACAUUGUACUUCGAGUGUAAAUGUGUUAUCUGUCUUGAGUGAAAAAUAUUAAAAGUUACUAUUGAAUUAAAGAA